UACAGAGGGUGCGAGCGUUGUUCGGAAUUAUUGGGCGUAAAGGGCGCGUAGGCGGUGCGGUAAGUCACCUGUGAAAUCCCCUGGCUCAACUGGGAGCUUGCAGGCGAAACUGCCGUGCUGGAGUGUGGGAGAGGUGCGUGGAAUUCCUGGUGUAGCGGUGAAAUGCGUAGAUAUCAGGAGGAACACCUGUGGCGAAAGCGGCGCACUGGACCACAACUGACGCUGAGGCGCGAAAGCUAGGGGAGCAAACAGG
rnacentral:rRNA from 1 species